rnacentral:rRNA from 1 species
AUGCACGCUGGCGGCGUGCCUAAUACCUGCAAGUCGAGCGAACGGACGAGAAGCUUGCUUCUCUGAUGUUAGCGGCGGACGGGUGAGUAACACGUGGAUAACCUACCUAUAAGACUGGGAUAACUUCGGGAAACCGGAGCUAAUACCGGAUAAUAUUUUGAACCGCAUGGUUCAAAAGUGAAAGACGGUCUUGCUGUCACUUAUAGAUGGAUCCGCGCUGCAUUAGCUAGUUGGUAAGGUAACGGCUUACCAAGGCAACGAUGCAUAGCCGACCUGAGAGGGUGAUCGGCCACACUGGAACUGAGACACGGUCCAGACUCCUACGGGAGGCAGCAGUAGGGAAUCUUCCGCAAUGGGCGAAAGCCUGACGGAGCAACGCCGCGUGAGUGAUGAAGGUCUUCGGAUCGUAAAACUCUGUUAUUAGGGAAGACCAUAUGUGUAAGUAACUGUGCACAUCUUGACGGUACCUAAUCAGAAAGCCACGGCUAACUACGUG